GAGAGAGAGGUGAGAACUGAGAAACCUAAUUAGAUUUGAGAAACAGUUCGACUGCGGUAUGGCCGUCUGGGAGUGCGAUAGAGACGGCGUCAUAGCGACUUCACGACCUCGGCGCCGACAACUCUCAAGUGUGACUGCUGGUUUUCUCAUUUUUUAACUUUAUUCUUCAAUCUUCAAUUCUUCAACAGGUUCAUAACUUUUCAUUCUUCAAUCUUCAGUUUUUUAUAAUAAUUUAUGGUAGAUUAAUUAGUAAUUCUUGGAAUAAGAAAAACUCUUUGUGGAUCUAAGUUUUUCUUUUUCACAUUGUUUGUUGAUCUACUUGGUCACUGCAAACUUUUAGAGCUCAGUUGUGUAUUUUUCCGAUUCAAAUUGUAUGAAUAGGUUGAUUACAUGAGCUUCAUCCCUUCCUCUUCUGGCAUAUUUUGAUAGUUAGGAGUUUUAUCCCUUUCUCGGUGUAUGCAUUCCAGUGCCAUAAUGAGAAAUAUUUUGCAUAUUCGAACUUCAUAUACUCAUGACCACUAGUUAUCUCUAUAUGUGGAUAUAUGUAUAGGUUGAUUAAGGAAAUUUGAUCACGAUGUUCUGUCACUUAUUUUUUUUAAUGGCUAAUCUUUUCAUAAACAAGUUCUGGAAUAAGUGGUUGGAUCUCUCACAUAGUUUAGCCCUUCUCUCUUUUGUGUGCUUAUAUAUAUGUGCACUUUUAUGUAAAGUUCCUCACAGGAAUUUAAGGAGUAUUUCAUUCAUCUACUACUUAUUAUUGAUUCCAAGAGUAUCAUUAACUCAGUAAUUAGAGUGUAAAUUAAAGAGAGGAAUUGAUCUUAUAAGAGAAAGAUAUAUAUAAUGGAAAAGUGUUCAAUUCUAUGAGCAAGUUCUUAAUUUGUUAGCAUUAGUCUCAAUUUGUGUUUAUAUUUGUUUUAAUUUUGUAUAGAUGGUAGAUGAAAGUAAAGUAAGUGAUGCCGGUUCAACUGAAAGUUUACCUAUUAGUGAAGAUAGCAACACCAACACAAUUGAUAGCAACACCAACACAAUAGAUUUUUAUAAGUUUUGUUUAUAGAUUCUUUUAAUGUCUGAACAUAGGUAAAUACACUAACUGUAACGUAUAUUUGUUGAUUAUAUCAUUGAGAAUAGCAUAUUGCAACUAAAUAGUUCUCUUACUUCUUGGCAUCAUUUUGAAGAAUAUAAAGUGGAAAGAAACUUUUAGAUGCUGAGUCUUGGAUUCAUUUUGUUUUUAAAGCAUUUAAACAAAGAUUCAAAAUUUUGCAAGCCUGUCAGAUGUAUUGGAGUUGCUAAGUUUGUCGCCAACUUUGUUGCGCCUAAAACACAUCUAUUGCAGCAUGGUGCUGUCUUCAAUGGAGGCUUAAAGUUCGGCAUACAAUGCUGUGUUCAAAGAGCAGCCUUAUUUUGAUUGUUUUAGUUUCAAUCUCAUAAGAUCAAUUUGUUUGAUGUUCCAAACAACUAAAGUUAUAUAUUACUGUCUGCUUUUUCCUUUAGAUUCAAUUCUCAUGUUGUUUAUCUAAUGGUUCCC
rnacentral:lncRNA from 1 species